UCAUAAAAGUCGUAACAAGGUCUCCGUUGGUGAACCAGCGGAGGGAUCAUUA
rnacentral:rRNA from 1 species